rnacentral:rRNA from 1 species
GAUGAACGCUGGCGGCGUGCCUAAUACAUGCAAGUCGAGCGAACGGACGAGAAGCUUGCUUCUCUGAUGUUAGCGGCGGACGGGUGAGUAACACGUGGAUAACCUACCUAUAAGACUGGGAUAACUUCGGGAAACCGGAGCUAAUACCGGAUAAUAUUUUGAACCGCAUGGUUCAAAAGUGAAAGACGGUCUUGCUGUCACUUAUAGAUGGAUCCGCGCUGCAUUAGCUAGUUGGUAAGGUAACGGCUUACCAAGGCAACGAAGCAUAGCCGACCUGAGAGGGUGAUCGGCCAGACUGGAACUGAGACACGGUCCAGACUCCUACGGGAGGCAGCAGUAGGGAAUCUUCCGCAAUGGGCGAAAGCCUGACGGAGCAACGCCGCGUGAGUGAUGAAGGUCUUCGGAUCGUAAAACUCUGUUAUUAGGGAAGAACAUAUGUGUAAGUAACUGUGCACAUCUUGACGGUACCUAAUCAGAAAGCCACGGCUAACUACGUG